rnacentral:rRNA from 1 species
CCCUUAGAUGUUCUGGGCCGCACGCGCGCUACACUGACGGAGGCAGCGAGCGUGUCCUUCGCCGGCAGGUGCGGGCAAUCUUGCGAGUCCCCGUCGUGCUGGGGAUAGAUGGUUGCAAUUGUCGAUCUUGAACGAGGAAUUCCUAGUAAGCGCGAGUCAUCAGCUCGCGCUGAUUACGUCCCUGCCCUUUGUACACACCGCCCGUCGCUACUACAGAGUGCCCGUGUCCAAGAAACGGUCGGACCUGUGCGGCCUCUCCGGGCGACCGGAGGGCCGUUACGGGGAAGACCCUUUAUUUGACGCGGGUCGAUGAAGUAAAAGUCGUAACA